GAGGGUAUAGCUCACUGGUAGAGUGCAUGCUUAGCAUGCAUGAGGUCCUGGGUUCAAUCCCCAGUACCUCCA
rnacentral:tRNA from 1 species